CUAGAAUAUGAAACUCUGGAUUAGAUCAUAGAAUCCUAAAGAUAAAACAUGAUACUACCAUGAAGAACAUAGCCAGUUGAUGCUGUGCUUUUCAUCAGCAGUUGGUGCUUAUUCUACACAUCCUGCCAUCUACAAUGUUGUUCUGUUCACUUUUACUCUUCUUUGACUUGAUAGGUCUCAGUUCUGAACAGGUUUUAACACCCUACACUGAUGUAGAAGUGGCUUCAGAAAGGGAAAGAAUUACUCUCUCUUGUAAUUACUCUUCUGGUGUCACUCUUCAAUGGUAUCGACAAUAUCCACAAUCAGCACCACUGUUACUGGUCAUGGAACAUAUGCUUGCAAAAACACCAGGGUUCUUACUAAAUCAUGACAAAAAAGCCAAACGUGUGGAUCUGGAGAUCUCCUCUGCUCAAGUGACAGAUUCUGCUCUGUACUACUGCGCCUUGCAGCCCACAGUGACAGGAAACCCAGAAACACUGUACAAAAACCUGACAGCUCACGAUAAACUCUUCUCAUAUUUUAGGGCAGGGGUAGGGCUGGAAUUGGAUUGGAAUUCACCCUAACAUCUAACCUCAGAUACAGUAUGGCAUUUAUCCACACAAUUAUUUUACUUUCUGCACCCUCGCCUCACUGUAAAAUGAAUAAAGGGAAAACUUGGGCAGAUCUGGAGAGCUCCUUUGCUGAAGGGAAAGACUCUGCUCUGUAUUGCUGUGUUGUAAUGUCCACAGAGACACAUAAGUCACUGACUCAGCAAUCAGCAGAAUACAGACCUGUCAGUUUGUGGAUUUACAAACAUCUGCUUUCUUUUGUUUGACCACAGUGCCAUCAAAUGGAGUUUCUUGCAUAAAUACUUUGUCAACUGCUUUCAAAUCUAUAUAACACCUUAUUGUUUGAUUCUACAUAGUCAGUAGGAGGAGCUAGAGUAGGAUUAGAUUAUGAAUCCUCAAGAUAAAACAUGAUACUACCAUGAUGAUUAUAGCCAGUUGAUGCUGUGCUUUUCAUCAACAGCUGUUGCUUAUUCUACACAUCCUGCCAUCUACAAUGUUGUUCUGUUCACUAUCACUCUUCUUUCACCUGAUAGGUAAGUAAUAACAUUUUUAUUGAAACGGAGUGUUAUUAUGUUAAGGUGUAUUUAUUUUUCAAUUCAAAUAAUAUAGAGAUGAUGCAAGACAUGAGGAUACAUGUUUUGUUCCUUGAAAAUAUGUUCUCUUUAAUCUGCUUUUGAAAUUAAUUCAAUCAUUCAUGUGUGUGUAGAGUAUUACAUCAUAUAUAGUAUUAUGUUUUACAGGUCUCAGUUCUCCACAGGUAAUAACACCCUACACUGAUGCAGUGCUGGCUUUGGACGGGGACAGAGUUACUCUCUCUUGUAACUACUCCUCUGGAAACUAUAUUCAAUGGUAUCGUCAUUAUCUGAAAUCUGCACCACAGUUUCUGGUUAUGGGGUAUGUGGAUAUUACACCAGGGUUCACUCUAAAUCAUGACAAAGAAGCCAAACGUGUGGAUCUGGAGAUCUCCUCUGCUGAAGUGACAGACUGCUCUGUACUACUGUGCUCUGAGGCCCACAGUGACAGGAAAUAUGUCCAGAACACUAUUGUAGCCAAACCCUGACACUAUCGUAAUAUCCACAUCCCAGACCAAUCCUAACCCGAGCCAUAACUCAAUCCCUAA
rnacentral:lncRNA from 13 species